CCCUUAGAUGUCCGGGGCUGCACGCGCGCUACACUGAAGGAAUCAGCGUGCUAAAACCAUUGUCGAAAGGCAUUGGUAAACCCAUUAAAAUCCUACGUGAUUGGGAUCGGGAAUUGCAAUUAUUUCCCUUGAACGAGGAAUUCCCAGUAAGUGUGGGUCAUAAGCUCGCGUUGAUUACGUCCCUGCCCUUUGUACACACCGCCCGUCGCUGCCCGGGACUGAGCCGUUUCGAGAAAAGCGGGGACUGCUGCUGUCGGGGCUUUCGGGCCUUGGCUUCGGUGGAAACCGCUUUAAACGCAGUGGCUUGAACCGGGCAAAANUCGUANCA
rnacentral:rRNA from 1 species